UAGCGCUUACCCAAAAUGUUUUGAAAAACAAAAUGCUCUUAUUUCGAUGCAUUUCAAGAGUUUUGCUGUGAUAAGAACACUGGAAUAUAGACUGAAAUACUAUCCAACCAUUAGACUCAUGAUCUUGACAUGGAUCCAAGAUACUGGUAACUAGGCAGGACGGAUUGUUACACAGAACAGCAGGUUUCUGGAUGGAGACUCAGCGCCAUGUCACAAAUACUUCAGAACCUAGAAUGAAAGUUACCGAAAGAGCAAUAGACAUUCCAAUCUCUACAAAAUUCAUCUUAACUGUUUUUCAAGUUGAUACUUGAGACUACCAAGGACUUUUCAAGGACAGAAUUCACAAAACAGUUUAUGCCACCAUCUCAUAUCAAAGAAUUGUACUUGAGUUGAACAGCCUUCAAACAGAAACUGUUUCAAAACCUUCAAUGGAUUCAUUCUGAUUCAGUUUACCCUUGCUGUGAUCUGAGCAACUAUUUACAUCAGUUCAACAUCGUAAAUUGUUUAAACUUGAAAAUUCUGUCUUCGUGCAACUCACAUGAAUCUAUUUACUGUGAUGUUGACUCUAUACAGGAAGAAGAGACCAUCUUUAUACAUGCUGGCAUAUCUUUUAAAAAGGAAACAAAUAUUAUAACCAACAUAUUACACUGUUAUGUCAUCCAAGGACUCAGCUACUGACUCAGUUUAUAAAUACUUCAAAGGAAAAAUGUCUCUGUCAAUGUAAUUACUGCUGUGCAUAAUAAGACAUUUUUUAUUAUGCGCCCCUUCAUACAUGCCAUAUCCCCCGGCGGGGGGAAAAAUCCCCCGGAAUUUCGAUCCAUCCCCCGGUCUCCCGGCGGGAGAUAAAAAUCCCCCGGAAUUAAAAAAAAUAAUAAUAAUUUUUUUUUUUUUUUUUUUUUUUUUUUUUUUGAAAUUUUACAUCAGGCAAUAAUGACAAAGUGAAACCACAGUAUGUGAGUAAAACUCUCCAAAAGGAAACUUUUACAACAAGUGAUCAAUUAAUUUGUAGUUAUUAUCAAAAGCAAAGAAAUAUUACUCUUUUGGAAGGAAGAAAUUAAUAAUAUUUAUUCUAUUCUCUUAUUGUCUGAAAGUCAUCAAAGCUGACAGAAUUAAGCACAUUUUUUUAAAGACUUCGGAGGAAGGUUUAAUUUAAUUUAAUUGUCUUAAAAACAUAUUUUUCCAAUGACAUAUUUUGUUCUGCAAGUGCAUUACAGUAUGACAUGACAGUGUAUCAUAAAAAAUAUGAUAAAUCAUAACAUAAAAUAAUUCUGUAUAAUGAAAAAGUUUAGAGGUUUUCAAAGCAAACUAUAUGUGAAUACAUUUUUUUCAUACUUGCGUCUAAAAAUACUUUAAAAUUUCGCCAACUUAGACCUGCUAAAAAAAUCCCCCUGAAUACAACCAAAAUCCCCCUGAAUUUUCAGCCUUUUGAACAAAUCCCCCUGAAUGGUCUCCAGA